AUGGCUUAGUUGGAAAGGAUGCCCUGUACAAUUUACACCAACCAAUCUUAGGAAAUUGUGUGUUCUUGAUCUGUCUUAUAGUGACAUCACAGAAAACUGGAUGGGUUGGAACUAUAUCAAGAUGGCAGAAACUCUUAAAGUUCUGAACUUGCGUUGGUGUUCUAAACUAUCCCGAACUCCAGACUUGUCAGCAAAUAUAAAUUUGGAGGUAUUGAUUCUUGAAAACUGUAAAAAUUUGACUACAAUUGACGCAUCCAUUGGUCAUCUUAAGAGGUUAGUCAAAUUGAUGAUGAGGGGCUGUAGUAGUCAAAUGCAUCUCCCAAACAGCAUUUGUAAGUUGAGAUCUCUCAAAAUACUUGACAUUAGAGAUG